rnacentral:tRNA from 1 species
GGAGCGGUAUCGAAGUGGUCAUAACGGGACUGACUCGAAAUCAGUUGGGCCCUUGCGGGUCCCGUGGGUUCGAAUCCCACCCGCUCCG